AACGAACGCUGGCGGCAUGCCUAACACAUGCAAGUCGAACGAGCCCUUCGGGUCUAGUGGCGCCCGGGUGCGUAACGCGUGGGAACCUGCCCUUAGGUUCGGAAUAACUCCCCGAAUGGGGUGCUAAUACCGGAUAAUGUCUUCGGACCAAAGAUUUAUCGACUUUGGAUGGGCCCGCGUUGGAUUAGCUUGUUGGUAGGGUAAAAGCCUACCAAGGCGACGAUCCAUAGCUGGUCUGAGAGGAUGCUCAGCCACACUGGGACUGAGACACGGCCCAGACUCCUACGGGAGGCAGCAGUGGGGAAUAUUGGACAAUGGGCGAAAGCCUGAUCCAGCAAUGCCGCGUGAGUGAUGAAGGCCUUAGGGUUGUAAAGCUCUUUUACCCGGGAUGAUAAUGACAGUACCGGGAGAAUAAGCUCCGGCUAACUCCGUG
rnacentral:rRNA from 1 species